rnacentral:lncRNA from 1 species
AGAACUAUUGGAAGGUCGUAAAGACCAUCCUUAAGUAUUUAAGAAAUACUAAGGACCAGUGGCUUAUCUAUAGAGAAUCUGAAUUAAAACUUGUGAGGUUUACAGACUCCAAUUUUCAGUCAGAUCAUGACGACGCAAGAGCAUGUCAGAAUACGUUUAUACCCUAAACGGUGGAGCAGUCUGCUAGAAAAGUUUCAAGCAGUAUACCGUGGCCAACUCUACUUGCGAGGUG